CCUAUGAGAUGAAACACCUCCUACUGUGAAUACCAGUAACAUCAACACAACCCUCAGCAACCUUCAAGGUUUGACAUGCUGCUCAAUUCCUCAUUAAGACAUUAAAUACAGACCAGAUGAUUGGCAGCUGCAACAUCUCUGAUGUCACUUCCAGUGUCUGCCCGCCUGGACCCACCUCUUCCUGCUGGAAGGACAUAUAAUGGGGAGUCUGGCCAUUCUGAAGUCAGGAAAUCCCACAUGGUUCUGGCGGCACUGAUGACACUACUUCCGGUCCCAAAAAUGUCACUUCCUGUUCAGGCAAGACUGAUGACGUCACCUCCAGUCCUGAAGAUGUCACUUCCAGUUCCAGUACUGAUGACGUCAUCACUUCUGGUCACGAUGACCUCACUUCCGGUUCCAGGCCCGAUGAUGUAAUUUCCCAUACUGCCCUUUAAAACUGCCAUCUUGCCUCAAUACAAACCAGUUCUGUUUUGGACUCUGCUCUGUGAACAUCU